CGUGACUUACCCAUCUAUAUCUAUCAACUAUUAUUUGCAGUCUGAGUGUAUCAAAAUGGAUACAUCUAAAUUGGGGAGAUGACGGCUUACUUACAUUAUUUUCAGAGACUUGGAAGCUGCUCCGACCAGGUGGCAUUUUUGUGUUGGAACCUCAGCCAUGGAAGUCAUAUGAAAGCAACAAGAGUGUGUCAGAGACCACUGCUGCCAACUACCAUAAUAUUAAGUUUCGACCAGAAGAAUUUCAGGAAAUACUGCUAGAUAAGAUUGGAUUUAGAAAAGUAGAAGCGAUCACUUCAGAAUUGUCGGGUAGCAAGACUGGUUUCAAUAGACCAAUUUUAGUUUUCCAAAAAUAACCCAUGCAGAAAGCCAUAUGAUGAGUCAAUGUGAUUGUUCCCUGUAGAGAAGUGUAUAUUAUAUAUUUUGUGAUCGAGUGAUUAUUGUCUAUUAGUGAUUGCUAAUAGACAAUCGCUAAUAGACAACAAGCUUUUGCAUGCGAUGAAGAUGUUCUUCAAGAUAAUGACUUACAUGCAUGGAAGCAAAUUUUUGGUUGAAUGAAAAUAUAUAUUUUGUCUCGUGUGUA